CGACCGCUGGCGGCGUGCUUAACACAUGCACGUCGAACGGUGAAGCUCCAGCUUGCUGGAGUGGAUCAGUGGCGAACGGGUGUGUAACACGUGAGCAACCUGCCCCUGACUCUGGAAUAAGCGCUGGAAACGGCGUCUAAUACUGGAUACGAGAAGGGUCCGCAUGGGCACUUUCUGGAAAGUUUUUCGGUUGGGGAUGGGCUCGCGGCCUAUCAGCUUGUUGGUGAGGUAAUGGCUCACCAAGGCGACGACGGGUAGCCGGCCUGAGAGGGCGACCGGCCACACUGGGACUGAGACACGGCCCAGACUCCUACGGGAGGCAGCAGUGGGGAAUAUUGCACAAUGGGCGAAAGCCUGAUGCAGCGACGCCGCGUGAGGGAUGACGGCCUUCGGGUUGUAAACCUCUUUCAGCAGGGAAGAAGCGAAAGUGACGGUACCUGCAGAAGAAGCACCGGCUAACUACGUG
rnacentral:rRNA from 1 species